UGUGAUGCCCUUAGAUGUCCUGGGCCGCA
rnacentral:sRNA from 1 species